ensembl:scaRNA small Cajal body-specific RNA 1
UUGCACCAGAUACGAACCUGACAGUCCCCGCCUCAUCGCAGCUGUGGGAUCUCUGUGGCUGCCUGGUUUGAAACGGUGCAAGAGCAACAUCAGCCCUGAGAUUUAAGCUUUUCAGUGGGAAGCGACACUGUUGAGUUAUGGCUCAGAGGCACAGAG